AUACGGAGGACGCGAGCGUUAUCCGGAUUCAUUGGGUUUAAAGGGUGCGCAGGCGGCCGUACAAGUCAGCGGUGAAAGCCCGGGGCUCAACCCCGGAAGUGCCGUUGAUACUGCAUGGCUGGAAUGCGGUCGAGGCGGGCGGAACGGGGCGUGUAGCGGUGAAAUGCGUAGAUAUGCCACAGAACGCCGAUAGCGGAGGCAGCUCGCCAGGCCUGCAUUGACGCUCGGGCACGAAAGCGUGGGGAUCGAACAGGAUUAGAUACCCUGGUAGUCCACGCCGUAAACGAUGGGCGCUCGUCGUCGGCGGCAGACAGUCGGCGGCCAAGCGAAAGCGAUAAGCGCCCCACCUGGGGAGUACGGUCGCAAGGCUGAAACUCAAAUGAAUUGACGGGG
rnacentral:rRNA from 1 species